UACGUAGGGAGCAAGCGUUGUCCGGAUUUACUGGGUGUAAGGGGUGCGUAGGCGGCUAGGCAAGUCAGGUGUGAAAUGCAUGGGCUCAACCCAUGAGCUGCACUUGAAACUGUCAGGCUUGAGUGAAGUAGAGGCAGGCGGAAUUCCCUGUGUAGCGGUGAAAUGCGUUGUGAUAGGGAGGAACGCCAGUGGCGAAGGCGGCCUGCUGGGCUUUAACUGACGCUGAGGCACGAAAGCGUGGGUAGCAAAC
rnacentral:rRNA from 1 species